rnacentral:rRNA from 1 species
AACGCUGGCGGCGCGCUUAACACAUGCAAGUCGAGCGAGAACCAUGGCUUCGGCCAUGGGGACAGCGGCGAACGGGUGAGUAACACGUGGGUAAUCAACCCUCGACACUGGGAUAGCCCGGGGAAACCCGGAUUAAUACCGGAUACCCCAUCUGGCCUUCGGGCCGGCUGGAAAAGGUAGCUUUGGCCUCCGGUCGAGGACGAGCCCGCGGCGGAUUAGCUUGUUGGCGGGGUAAAAGCCCACCAAGGCGACGAUCCGUAGCUGGUCUGAGAGGACGAUCAGCCACCCUGGGACUGAGACACGGCCCAGACUCCUACGGGAGGCAGCAGUGGGGAAUCUUGCGCAAUGGGCGAAAGCCUGACGCAGCGACGCCGCGUGGAGGAUGAAGGUCUUCGGAUUGUAAACUCCUGUUAAGUGGGAAGAAAUAGCCAUCCUUAAUACGGGUGGCGAACGACGGUACCAUUAGAGAAAGCACCGGCUAAUCUCGUGCCAGCCGCCGCCGUAAGAC